AUAUGGUGAACUGUGGCUACUGAAACUAAUUUUGUGCUAACCUUGUGAUCUGAGAGUUUGAUUUCCUGAUAUAGAGAGAGAUAAGAUUUCUAUUCGAACACUGUUUUACAUUUGUGCUUAAGAAACGGAUGAAACUGUAAGAUGAUUUUACUAUUGGACUGAGCAAAUUUUUUUACUGAAAUAGAUUUUUACAUGGAAAAUGAUUCGCUUAAAUAGACACCUGAUCAAUAUAUGCUCUGUAUGUAUAUUCUGCAACUCUGCAUUUAGAUUUAGGGUUACUUGGUUAAUAUUUUUGAAACAAAAAUGUCACUCUAAAAAGAUAUUAUCUAGAAUUUCAUAUCAGGGUGCGGCCCUCUAGAUAGGAAGGCAUGGAUUCAAUGGCGAAAACUUCUAUCAGGAUGGGGACUCUCUAGGCGGGAUGGCAUGGACCCAACAGCAAGGACAUCAAUCAUGAUGGAUUCAACCAGUCUGCUCGAUCAUUGGAUGACAUAAUAUGCUUAUGAUGUGGGUUAAUGGAGAAUUAACUACACAUGGAGGUUUGAGGAAGAGCUCGCUGGGCGAAUUCGUUGGUUGGCUCAACCGGCGAACGAUACAGACACUCCGGCAAGAUCGAGCCAACGGCUGGAGGAUUUCAGGGGAGAUCGUACUGUGACUAUAACAGGAGGCUAAGAUUUCACCUGCGCUGUAUGUGAAAAGCAGGUUCAGGAGCUCCAAGCCAACAAACACCAGGGCUUUGAAAAAGAUGUAAGAUUUCUACUUUCUAGCUUGUCACAAAAUUUGUUGUCGCCUGUUAUUUUGUAUGGCAGUCAGGCAUGUUAUAAGAAUGACCUAUAGACCUAUUGUUCAGUUUUGUUUGAGAUAGAAUACAAAUUAUGCGUAGUAUUCAAA